UUUUUUAGAUCAAUGAAAAUAAUACAUGUCAUCCAUCCAUCCAUCUCAGCACAAGUCGAUCCGACGGCUGACAUAAUUCUUGAAAACGACUGAAGCGAGUUGUUAAAUAUCAAGAAAACAUUCCAAAUAAAACAAUCACAAACAACAUUUCGAAAACCUUUUCCUGUUUCAAGAAUCAAAAACCUGCAAAACGUUUGAUUAAUUCUCUUCCACCAAACCCACCGAAAUGGCAGACGUGGACGCUAAUGAUCUUCCACCACCGUCGAUCGAAUGCAGUCAAUGUGGGAUAAGAGUUUAUACUUUAAACGAAUUAAUUCAACAUAAAGUUUCUGCUCACGCUCCUCCAGUUAAAAAACCAUCUUAAAAUUAGGGGUUUUUUUAGGUUUUUAAUUGUUUUUUUUAACAGUUUCCGUUUCAAUUUUUAAUUUUCUUUCUUCAACAAAUUUCCAAGAAAAUGAUUGAGUUCAUCCAAGGACCGCUCUUUGGAUCAUACUGGCCAGGGAGUCAGGGACGGUUCUUAGAAGAGAAGAAGGUCACCCGUACCGGCGCUUCUACAAUGUACAAUACCUCACUCGCUAUAACGAUGAUGACUCGCCGCUGACUGAGGAGGUUCAUGUUAGGGUUAUACGGCCGAUUCCACCGGAAUUUGCAGGUUAUCGGAGCUUUGAGUUUAAUUAUAUAGUUGAUGCUUAUAAUUACGACGUUGGGGCUCCUUAUAUCAGGUUUCAUGCCGAGUGGUUUCCUCUUCCUUGUUAUGUGUUCUGGAGGCCAACUGAUGAAUACACUCAUAAUCAAGUAACUGAUCCUCAACCCAGCGGAGAUCAAGCAAAUCGAUAAUCUACCGAGUGGUCCUCUUUCUUGUUAUGUGUUUUGGAGGCCAACCGAUGAAUAUAUACUUAUAAUCCAGUAAUUGCUCCUCAAUCCAGCAGAGAUCAAGCAAAUUGAUAAUCUACCAAACCAGGGCCACUGAUAUUAUCAUAGUCUCAAACUUUGCUUCUAUUUUGAUUAGUAGACUUAAUAUGAAAUUGUAUUGCUUUGCUAAAUACUUAAAUAGGGCUUUGGCAUGUUAAAUCUAUACUACACUAUAAUUCUGAACUCUACAAAACUUUUAACACCGUUCUAACAAACAUGUGGACUCUCCACACCUAUUAACUCUAUCAAUCAGCAUUAUCAAGCUGGAAACUUAUGCAGACGUUACGCCUUCACCAGCAGAUUCGUCUUCCAUUGCUCUUCAAACCUUACACGACAGUACAAACAAUCAACUUCAAUGAAAUCCAAGCUCAGAUAUGCAGCACCAUGUAAAAUCAAAAGAACCGAGUUCAUCAUCCAAAUAACACCAAAACCCCAUUUGCCUCUUCAAUCUUCCUUAAAACUCGGUUGUACCAACCAAAUUUCGUCAACCCAGAAUAUGGGAUCGGAAAACUCGCAACAAAGAGUAAUGUAUCCAACAAUGCAGGAUUUCUAUUUAAGUCCGCAUAAAAGAGCUGCAUAGCCAAUAGGCUAUAACUUCUCUGCAAUAUUAGUCGCUGGUAACGAGAAUUCCAUUUGGUUUGUUGAUUAAAGAAAACCCUGAAUGGCCCUUUUCUUUCAUUUUGGCCGCAAAUUGCGCUCAUUAGUUCUUCAUUACAUGUCUUUCUCUAUUUAUAUCUUUAUUGGUUUUGUUCUUUAAGACUUGAAUGCAGGAGUUGAUAUUCUUUCUGUGUCAGUGGUUUAACGGCAGAACUGUUGCUUACAAGAACCACGCAGUUCUACCUAACGCUUUGGAGAUAUGGAGUUUGGAAUUGCUUCUACGAGUACAUGUAGAGAUCACUAAGAUGAUUGAUGUGGAGGUAAGAUUGUCAAAUCAUCACUGCUAAGAUUUUCAAACAGAGUCCUGUAUUAACAGAAUUUGCUCUGCCAUCAACAAAGUUCUAAUGCCGUCUUUUAGACAUGCUAAACAGCUGAUUCAUGAGUUCUGCUGUCCAAACUCGGUUGUUCAAGUGUUUGUUAAUUCAGCGAAAGUUCUGCUGUCCGAUUCGACUACUGAAGAGAAGGAAGAAGAAAAACAGGAGCAAGAGGAGGAGAAAAAUGAUGUGAAACUUGAAGCAGAUCCAACGCAGCCAAAGAUUAUCCGAGUGGCAAAUCUAUGUGUUGUUGGUGGACAUGCUUAGUAAAAUGGGAUUUCUGAGAUUCACAGCAGAACAGAAAAAUAUGAAGUUCUCAAUAAAUUUUAUAAGGUAACAUGACAAAUAUAAUGCCAUUCUUGUGCUCUAAUUUGCUCAUGUCAAUGAGGUUGUUUAAAUUACAUCCAUAGUCUUUUUGUGCAAUUUUGCCUGAGAAGUUUCAGAAUAAAACAAAUGGAGUAACACCAAGAAGAAGGAUUUUCUUUUUCAAUCCAGAUCUGAGUAUUCCUGUCCCAAUGGAGUGGAACAGAUGAUUAGGUACUCAAUAUAAUAACUUGGUCCUGUUCCAUUGGUGUUUUUGGUAGCGCUUCUUUUCAAUUUGUGUAGUAGUUGAAAAUGAUGUGCACAAGUUUAUUGGAAGCAUUUUAAAGCUAUUCACUAAGCAUGCAGAGAAACGACCAUUGAUGGCUGAGGUUGCACGAGAAUUUCUUUCCGUAACCUCAAGAACUCAGCUUCCACAUUCAUACUCAUCUACUUUGGACGAGAUGUCCAGUUCAAAUGUGGAAGGAGGGAUUACCCCAUUAUUCUUUUAAGGUUCAUCUAUUUGUAUGUAUAAAAAUGCAACUUCAUUUCACAUAUGUUAUAUUCAUAUCACUUGAGCGAGGAAGUAAAUGUUUGUAUGGUAUUCUCUGUUGGGUUUGGGUUUUUAGGCUAUUGAUGAACAUGUAUAAAUUAAGAUUAGCAAGCAUUUCAUA